rnacentral:rRNA from 1 species
UAGGGAAUCUUCCGCAAUGGGCGAAAGCCUGACGGAGCAACGCCGCGUGAGUGAUGAAGGUCUUCGGAUCGUAAAACUCUGUUAUUAGGGAAGAACAAAUGUGUAAGUAACUAUGCACGUCUUGACGGUACCUAAUCAGAAAGCCACGGCUAACUACGUGCCAGCAGCCGCGGUAAUACGUAGGUGGCAAGCGUUAUCCGGAAUUAUUGGGCGUAAAGCGCGCGUAGGCGGUUUUUUAAGUCUGAUGUGAAAGCCCACGGCUCAACCGUGGAGGGUCAUUGGGAACUGGAAAACUUGAGUGCAGAAGAGGAAAGUGGAAUUCCAUGUGUAGCGGUGAAAUGCGCAGAGAUAUGGAGGAACACCAAUGGCGAAGGCGACUUUCUGGUCUGUAACUGACGCUGAUGUGCGAAAGCGUGGGGAUCAAACAGG